rnacentral:rRNA from 1 species
UGGGGAAUUUUGGACAAUGGGCGAAAGCCUGAUCCAGCCAUGCCGCGUGCAGGAUGAAGGCCUUCGGGUUGUAAACNGCUUUUGUACGGAACGAAAAGACUCUGGUUAAUACCUGGGGGUCCAUGACGGUACCGUAAGAAUAAGCACCGGCUAACUACGUGCCAGCAGCCGCGGUAAUACGUAGGGUGCAAGCGUUAAUCGGAAUUACUGGGCGUAAAGCGUGCGCAGGCGGUUAUAUAAGACAGAUGUGAAAUCCCCGGGCUCAACCUGGGAACUGAUUUGUGACUGUAUAGCUAGAGUACGGCAGAGGGGGAUGGAAUUCCGCGUNUAGCAGUGAAAUGCGUAGAUAUGCGGAGGAACACCGAUGGCGAAGGCAAUCCCCUGGGCCUGUACUGACGCUCAUGCACG